rnacentral:rRNA from 1 species
AUUGAACGCUGGCGGCAUGCCUUACACAUGCAAGUCGAACGGUAACAGGUCUUCGGUUGCUGACGUGUGGCGUACGGGUGUGUAAUACCUCGGAACGUGCCCGAUCGUGUGGGUUAACGAGCCGCAAGCUUUGCUACUACCGCAUACGAUCUACGGAUGCACGCGUGGGUUCUUCGGACCUCGCUCGGACUGCGCGUCCGAUGGCGGAUUAUGUAGUUGGUGGGAUAAAAGCUUACCAAGCCGACGAUCUGUAGCUGGUCUGUGAGGAGGAUCAGCCACACUGGAAGAGAGAAACGGCCCAGACUACUACGGGAGGCAGCAGAGGGGAAUUUUGGACAAUGGGCGAAAGCAUGAUCCAGCCAUGCCGCGUGCAGGAUGAAGGCCUUCGGGUGGUAAACUGCUUUUGUACGGAACGAAAAGACUCUGACUAAUAAAGAGGGGUCAUGACGGUACCGUAAGAAUAAGCACCGGCUAACUACGUG